CGGGGUGCAGCAGGCGCGAAAACUCUACAAUGCAGGCAACUGCGAUAGGGGGACAUCGAGUGGCAUCCACCUUGGGUGCCUGUCCAACCGUCUAAAAAACGGUUGUUAGCAAGGGCCGGGUAAGACCGGUGCCAGCCGCCGCGGUAAUACCGGCGGCUCGAGUGGUGGCCGAUAUUAUUGAGUCUAAAGGGUCCGUAGCCGGCUUUGCAAGUCCCCUGGGAAAUCCAGCGGCUUAACCGUUGGGCUUUCAUGGGAUACUACAUUGCUUGGGACUGGGAGAGGUAGGAGGUACUCGGGGGGUAGGGGUGAAAUCCUGUAAUCCUCCGGGGACCACCGGUGGCGAAGGCGUCCUACCAGAACAGGUCCGACGGUGAGGGACGAAAGCUAGGGGCACGAACCGGAUUAGAUACCCGGGUAGUCCUAGCCGUAAACGAUGCCCGCUAGGUGUCACGACGGUCGUGAAUCGUCGUGGUGCCGUAGGGAAGCCGCGAAGCGGGCCACUUGGGAAGUACGGCCGCAAGACUGAAACUUAAAG
rnacentral:rRNA from 1 species